AUGAACGCUGGCGGCGUGUUUAAGGCAUGCAAGUCGUACGAAGUUUUGUAGCAAUACAAAAUUCAGUGGCAAACGGGUGAGUAACACACUGGUAACCUACCUUCAAGACAGGGAUAGCUCUCCGAAAGGAGAAUUAAUACCUGAUGGACAUGCGGGGACAUAAGUCAUUCGCAUGUAAAGCCGCAAGGCGCUUGGAGAGGGGCCUAUGUCUGAUUAGCUAGUUGGUGAGGUAAUGGCCCACCAAGGCUUCGAUCAGUAGCAGGCGUGAGAGCGUGACCUGCCUCACUGGGACUGAGACACUGCCCAGACUCCUACGGGAGGCUGCAGUCAAGAAUCUUCCACAAUGGGCGAAAGCCUGAUGGAGCGACGCCGCGUGCAGGAUGAAGGCCUUCGGGUCGUAAACUGCUUUUAUAGGGGACGAAUUAGUGACGGUACCCUAAGAAUAAGAGGUUGCUAACUCUGU
rnacentral:rRNA from 1 species